UUGAGGUGUCGUCCAUUUUA
rnacentral:siRNA from 1 species